GUCAGUGUGGUGUAGUGGUUUGAAAGCCAGACUAGAAGUCUGGGAGACCAUGGUUUGAGUCCUUGCUCAGCCA